AAACCUACAAACAGGCUGAGACGAAGAGUACAUACACAAUCCCUUCUUUGUAGAAAAAACCCCUCCUACUCCACUCCUCACUCUGCAAGGAACAAUGGCGGACCGUGAUCGAACUCGAGACAGAGACAGAGACCGAGACCGAGACCGAGACCGCGAACGUGAACGGGAUCGUGAGCGUGACCGAGAAAGGGACAAGGAUAGAGACAGAGAUCGGAAACGAGACCGGGAAGACCGUGAUCGGAGAGACCGUGAACAUUCUUAUACCCCUGACCAUACCAGAACUACUCGGCAUACUCGCUCUCGUACUCGUUCCCCUUCCACUGACCGUCACCGUCACCGCCACCGUUCUACCUCGCGUUCCCGUUCUCCUACUGACCGUCGCCACCGUCACCACCGCCGCAGGAGUCCCUCAGCUGAAAGUCCUCCAAGAAAAAGGCAUAAAGAUGAUGGUGAACGGGAUAAGGAAAGGGACAGACACAGAGAAGUUUCGGAUUUUGUGGAUGGGAUAGCCAAAGAACAACAGAAACAGAAGAAAAAGAACAAGGACAAGGAGAAUGUGAGUGGGAGUGGGGGUGUUGGUGAAGGAGGAGAAGAGAUGAUGGAUGAAGAUGAGAUUGAGAUGAUGAAGAAAUUUGGGAUACCAGUAGGGUUUGAUUCUACAAAAGGAAAACCAGUGGCAGGAAAUGAUGUAGGUGCUGUAAGAAAAGUCACCAAACGCCAGCCUCGACAGUACAUGAAUAGGCGUGGUGGGUUCAAUAGGCCCUUGCCUGCUGAGUGCAACCGCUGAGCUUUCCAGGUUCCUCAUACUCAGACCCCAUCUCUUUGGCUGAUGAUCACCUUUAUCCAUCUGACCAGAUAUGGGAAUUCUUCUUUUCUCAAUGCAUCCAGUCUCUUCUCCACACUUUCAGGCAAAGGAAAAAGAGACAUCGUAGGCAGGAAGAGCAUCUAGGACAGAGCUGAUUCGGGUCACCCUUCCUCCCAAGGAUCGAUACCAUGAUUUCCACCUUGUCAAUUUUUUCUCACACCUUUCUAAAGUUCCAGUCUGAGUUUCUUUGGGUUUUCUCCUUGCUCUUAAUGGCAUUCCAAGGUGGAAAUGCAUUUUCUGCCAGGCUUCUUAUAUGAGUCUGUCCCUUUGUCCAAGUAAUGGAGACAAUGUAAGAUAUCUUUAAUUGUCUGUCUAGGUUGUAAUGUGCUAUAUUUCUCAGAACUCCAUGAUAAUAGUACUCCAAUAGUUUCACAGUUUGCUGCAGACUGCAGACGCGCAGUAACAGAUGCACCGUUAAUUCAGGGUCCUGCCAAAUGGUUAGCUGGUUAAUCAAGUGCCCCUCCCUCCCUUUAAAGCAGUCAUUCUUGAACACCAUAUGUUAUCUCAUUGAGGUUACUGAUGUGAACAUGCAUUUGGCCAUCACAUCUUACGUUAUGUGUUCUCAGAUCUCUCCUCAAAAAGGCAUGUCUUCAUAAAUCAGCUUACAUUUGGAUUUGGCUAUACUGUUGCUCGCUAUGCGCACUCAAGUCUUGUAUUGAUCACUUUCUGAUACCUUUUAUGAUAUUUGUCCCCUUGGUUUAAAUGGUGUGGAAUCUGUCGAUUUGAUUCUUUAUGUUACAGAGUCAUACCCAGUUUGGGGCAGAAGUUUUUUAACUCCGGUGGGGUAGUGUGCAUGA